UUACGGGAGGCAGCAGUAAGGAAUUUUGCACAAUGGGCGAAAGCCUGAUGCAGCAACGCCGCGUGAGGGAUGAAGGCCUUCGGGUUGUAGACCUCUUUUCUCAGGGACGAUGAUGACGGUACCUGAGGAAUAAGCCACGGCUAACUACGUGCCAGCAGCCGCGGUAAUACGUAGGUGGCAAGCGUUGUCCGGAUUUACUGGGCGUAAAGAGCGCGCAGGCGGUCGUUCAAGUCGAAUGUGAAAGCCCCCGGCUCAACUGGGGAGGGUCAUUCGAUAUUGAUCGACUCGAAGGCAGGAGAGGGAAGCGGAAUUCCCGGUGUAGUGGUGAAAUGCGUAGAUAUCGGGAGGAACACCAGUGGCGAAGGCGGCUUCCUGGCCUGUUCUUGACGCUGAGGCGCGAAAGCCAGGGGAGCAAACGGGAUUAGAUACCCUGGUAGA
rnacentral:rRNA from 1 species